AGUCGAACGAGCGAGAGAGAGCUUGCUUUCUCGAGCGAGUGGCGAACGGGUGAGUAACGCGUGAGGAACCUGCCUCAAAGAGGGGGACAACAGUUGGAAACGACUGCUAAUACCGCAUAAGCCCACGACCCGGCAUCGGGAAGAGGGAAAAGGAGCAAUCCGCUUUGAGAUGGCCUCGCGUCCGAUUAGCUAGUUGGUGAGGUAACGGCCCACCAAGGCGACGAUCGGUAGCCGGACUGAGAGGUUGAACGGCCACAUUGGGACUGAGACACGGCCCAGACUCCUACGGGAGGCAGCAGUGGGGAAUAUUGCACAAUGGGGGAAACCCUGAUGCAGCGACGCCGCGUGGAGGAAGAAGGUCUUCGGAUUGUAAACUCCUGUUGUUGAGGAAGAUAAUGACGGUACUCAACAAGGAAGUGACGGCUAACUACGUGCCAGCAGCCGCGGUAAAACGUAGGUCACAAGCGUUGUCCGGAAUUACUGGGUGUAAAGGGAGCGCAGGCGGGAAGACAAGUUGGAAGUGAAAUCCAUGGGCUCAACCCAUGAACUGCUUUCAAAACUGUUUUUCUUGAGUAGUGCAGAGGUAGGCGGAAUUCCCGGUGUAGCGGUGGAAUGCGUAGAUAUCGGGAGGAACACCAGUGGCGAAGGCGGCCUACUGGGCACCAACUGACGCUGAGGCUCGAAAGUGUGGGUAGCAAACAGGAUUAGAUACCCUGGUAGUCCACACCGUAAACGAUGAUUACUAGGUGUUGGAGGAUUGACCCCUUCAGUGCCGCAGUUAACACAAUAAGUAAUCCACCUGGGG
rnacentral:rRNA from 1 species